rnacentral:rRNA from 1 species
UACAGAGGUCUCAAGCGUUUGUUCGGAUUCAUUGGGCGUAAAGGGUGUGUAGGUGGCGCCGUAAGUCGGGGUGUGAAAUUUCGGAGCUUAACUCCGAAACUGCAUUCGAUACUGCGGUGCUUGAGGACUGGAGAGGAGACUGGAAUUCACGGUGUAGCAGUGAAAUGCGUAGAUAUCGUGAGGAAGACCAGUGGCGAAGGCGGAUCUCUGGACAGUUCCUGACGCUGAGGCGCGAAGGCCAGGGGAGCAAAACGGG